UACGAACCGUGCAAACGUUGUUCGGAAUCACUGGGCUUAAAGGGCGCGUAGGCGGGUUGCCAAGUCUGUGGUGAAAGCCCCCGGCUUAACCGGGGAAGUGCCGUGGAUACUGGCGAUCUCGAGGAGGGUAGGGGCAUCUGGAACGUUGGGUGGAGCGGUGAAAUGCGUUGAUAUCCAACGGAACUCCGGUGGCGAAGGCGAGGUGCUGGACCCUUUCUGACGCUGAGGCGCGAAAGCUAGGGGAGCAAACAGG
rnacentral:rRNA from 1 species